UGGGGAAUUUUGGACAAUGGGCGCAAGCCUGAUCCAGCAAUGCCGCGUGCAGGAUGAAGGCCUUCGGGUUGUAAACUGCUUUUGUACGGAGCGAAAAGGUCUGCCCUAAUACGGUGGGCCCAUGACGGUACCGUAAGAAUAAGCACCGGCUAACUACGUGCCAGCAGCCGCGGUAAUACGUAGGGUGCGAGCGUUAAUCGGAAUUACUGGGCGUAAAGCGUGCGCAGGCGGUUAUGUAAGACAGAGGUGAAAUCCCCGGGCUCAACCUGGGAACUGCCUUUGUGACUGCAUGGCUAGAGUGCGGCAGAGGGGGAUGGAAUUCCGCGUGUAGCAGUGAAAUGCGUAGAUAUGCGGAGGAACACCGAUGGCGAAGGCAAUCCCCUGGGCCUGCACUGACGCUCAUGCACGAAAGCGUGGGGAGCAAACA
rnacentral:rRNA from 1 species